rnacentral:rRNA from 1 species
GUCUUUCCCUCCCUUCGGGGUGGGAUUACAAAAGAUAACAGAUCUUUCAUGAUCAUGUGAUGGGUGGUGCAUGGCCGUUCUUAGUUCGUGGAGUGAUCUGUCUGCUUAAUUGCGUUUCAAAUUUUAUAUUUGUUAACAUGCGAGUCUUCAAUGACGGCCACUCCACCUUAUAGACAUUAUAUGAUAUGCACAUUUGUGUAUUUGAUUAUAACUUGUCUGGAGUCUGGCUCGAUUUUUUUGACUCAAUUGAACGCAACGGACGUGAUUGCAAGUCCUUGUUGAACAAAUUAUAUAUAUACUACUUCAUCAUUAGUAUAUAUAGUUCGCUUCUCAUGUCGUAGCAGUCAAACGGGCGGGCGUCUUAAUUGGCGCGGUCACGAGGCUUAAUAUGCUGCGGCUGGGAAAACUUGGGCGACCGCUGUAAUACUUCUCUCUUAAACCAGAGGAAGAUUGCGGCAAUAACAGGUCU